AAGUGCAAACAGCAUCGCACAGGGAUGGAGCUGGGGACUGUUUGAGGCUUCGAAGGGGAGGAGUUCUAUUGGAAGCAGUUAAGAGCCUCUGGUUUGGCUCUCAGGGUGCUGCUCGGCUCCAUUUUAGCCGGAAGGCACAGCACUCUAGAGUUGCUGGCGCUCCUCCGUGGAAUGUUGUGGAAUGUUGUGGAAUGUUCUUGUUCACUCUGCACGCAGCAGGGACAGUAAUUGCCCUCACCAUUUGGCUGCUCUGCGAUCUCUAGAACAUUUUCACAUCCCUCAUCUCACUGGCAAACAUUUCCACCUUCCAGUGGGUACUGUAGGGAAAGGAAGUCACUUUUACUGUAUGGGUAAAGACAAGGCUAGGAGAGCUGACCUAAACUCAGGGUCUAGAGGCCAGAAGAACUAGGGCCUGGGCCCCACCCUGUGACUGUGGGCCCAGGGCUGCUUCCACUCCCCUUGCUUUGGUAAGGAGAGCUCUGAGACUGACUAUCUAGCUCUCGCAGAAGCACGUGAAUGAAGUCAUCAAGCACUUCUUCUGGAACGUUCCUCGUGAGAUCACAACGUCGCAGAGUAAGGAUUCUCCAGCAACCUUGUCACUUUGGAGAAGCCUGACAGUGUAGACUGUUGCUCUCCAAGAUGGCACCCUGUGACAGACCCAUCUUCUCCAAUUGUCUCUACCGCAGUGAUCUGUACUUCUGAUGGGCAUGG
rnacentral:sRNA from 1 species